rnacentral:rRNA from 1 species
AACGAACGCUGGCGGGAUGCCUAACACAUGCAAGUCGAACGAGAGCUUCGGGAGUGGUGGCGCACGGGGGCGUCGCGCGUGGGAACCGGCCCUUAGGUUCGGAAUAAUACACUGAAGGGGGUGCUAACAUCGGUUAACGUCUUCGGAUCAAAGAUUUAUCGCCUUUGGAUGGGCGGGGGUUGUACUAGCCGGUUGGUAGGGUAAAAGCCUACGAAGGCGACGAUCCAUAGCUGGUCUGAGAGGAUGAGCAGCCACGCUGGGAAUGGGACCCGGCCCAGACUCCUACAGGAUGCACGAGUGGGUAAUAUUGGCCAAUCGCGUAGAUCCUGAACCAGCAAUGCCGCGAGAGUCAUGAAGGUCUGAGAGUAGUAAAGCUCGUUAACCCGCGAUGAUAAUGACAGUACCGGAAGAAUAAGCACCGGCUAACUCCGUG